UACGUAGGGUGCAAGCGUUGUCCGGAAUUAUUGGGCGUAAAGAGCUCGUAGGCGGUUUGUCGCGUCUGCUGUGAAAACUGGGGGCUCAACCCCCAGCCUGCAGUGGGUACGGGCAGACUAGAGUGCGGUAGGGGAGAGUGGAAUUCCUGGUGUAGCGGUGAAAUGCGCAGAUAUCAGGAGGAACACCGGUGGCGAAGGCGGGGUCUCUGGGCCGAUACUGACGCUGAGGAGCGAAAGCGUGGGGAGCGAACAGG
rnacentral:rRNA from 1 species